rnacentral:rRNA from 1 species
UACGAAGGACCCGAGCGUUAUCCGGAUUUAUUGGGUUUAAAGGGUGCGUAGGCGGAUUAUUAAGUCAGUGGUGAAAGCCUACAGCUUAACUGUAGAAUUGCCAUUGAUACUGAUGAUCUUGAGUGUGAUUGAAGUGGGCGGAAUGUGUCAUGUAGCGGUGAAAUGCUUAGAUAUGACACAGAACACCGAUUGCGAAGGCAGCUCACUAAGUCAAUACUGACGCUGAUGCACGAAAGCGUGGGGAGCAAACAGG